GAAAUGCGAUACGUAAUGUGAAUUGCAGUUUCCGCGAAUCAUCAAAUUGUUGAACGCAAAUGGCACUCUUUGGCAUUCCGAAGAGUAUACCUGUUUGAGUAUCAUUAAACACCCUAUCAACGUUUAUGUUGAUGUUGUGAGCAUGUAGUAACAACUUAUUACUACUUGCUUUGAAUUCAAGUAAUCUCAAAAGUUUGGCAAGUUAAACGUAAUAUAAAAAUAUUAUUUUAUAUACGUGUCAAGCUUUCAAGUUUGAUCUCAAAUCAGGCAAGACUACCCGCUGAACUUAA
rnacentral:misc_RNA from 1 species